rnacentral:rRNA from 1 species
UACGGAGGGUGCGAGCGUUGUCCGGAAUCACUGGGCGUAAAGGGCGCGUAGGCGGCGCGGAUAGUCGGCGGUGAAAGCCCGGAGCUCAACUCCGGGUCGGCCGUCGAUACUUCCGGGCUUGAGCACUGUAGAGGCAGAUGGAAUUCCGGGUGUAGCGGUGGAAUGCGUAGAGAUCCGGAAGAACACCGGUGGCGAAGGCGGGUCUGCUGGGCAGUUGCUGACGCUGAUGCGCGAC